ensembl:lincRNA
GGGAAGUUAGACAUUCGUUCAGAAAGGCCGGUAUCAACCACCAUUAUUGACCAAGCAAUACUUGGACCAAGAGCAAUGCUGCGCACUGGGAGUGACACCUCAUUUCAAGGAACUCAUACAUUGGGGUCCCAAAGAAAUAACAAUUCUCUGUGGAAUCAGAGAGAAGGUCUUGCAUCAUCAAGCUUCUGAGUCGGGAAAGAUCUGAGGCUAGCCCCAGAAGGUCAGUAUCUGAGUUUACCUGAGAAGAAAUAUCUUGGACCAAGAUUAAGUCUCAUCAACAGUAAAGGAAUGCGCAAAACCACAAGGUAGAGUGACAAAGCCACAAUACAAUGAGUUCAAACUAUGUCUUUGGCUCUUGCAAUUAUGAAAAUUUA